GGUCAUUUUUAAAAGUGGUGAAGAUAGUAACGCUCUCCGAGCCGGAAUAACGAAGUCUGUUUAUAAACGGAGUCUUUGGAAUUAAUUUUUCCUAAAAUACUUGCAGGCACACCUAUUUAAUUCGCGUAACCGGAGAAAAGUGGUGGAAUAACAAGCGUGGAACAGCGUGCAAGAUUAUCUUUUAUUUCGUUUCCUUUCAUAAAUCACGAAUGCUGCGAGUAUACUGCAGACUUCGGAAUUGCGCAACAUAAACGGAAUAAAUUAUUAAUGACAAAGUAGCUGUACCGAUCACAGUUGGGAAAUGAAUCGUAGGAAAAGAGGUUGAUUCAACAACUAUUCUACACCUAUAACCAG